GCUGUCAGCUCUAACUAAAUUUACACAUGCGAGUAUCCGCAACCCUGUGAGGAUGCCCUGUAGUUUCCUGAAUGGAAACAAGGAGCUGGUAUCAGGCACAAUAUAGCCCACGACGCCUUGCUAAGCCACACCCCCAAGGGAAUUCAGCAGUGGUAAAUAUUAAGCUAUGAGUGAAAACUUGACUUAGUUAAUGUUACGAGAGUCGGUAAAUCCCGUGCCAGCCACCGCGGUUAUACGAGAGACUCAAGUUGACAGCCUUCGGCGUAAAGAGUGGUUAAGUUAAUAAAAACUAAAGCCAAACGACUUCAAAGCUGUUAUACGCGCAUGGAAGUAUGAAGACCAACUACGAAAGUGGCUUUAAACCUGACUCCACGAAAGCUAUGAUACAAACUGGGAUUAGAUACCCCACUAUGCUUAGCCCUAAACAUAGAUAAUUACCUACUUAUUUAUCCGCCCGGGAACUACGAGCAUUAGCUUGAAACCCAAAGGACUUGGCGGUGCUUUAGAUCCACCUAGAGGAGCCUGUUCUAGAACCGAUAAUCCCCGUUAAACCUCACCUUUCCUUGUCUUAUUCCGCCUAUAUACCGCCGUCGUCAGCUUACUCUGUGAAGACAAUACAGUGAGCUCAACCGGUACUACCCCAAACGCCAGGUCGAGGUGUAGCGAAUGGAAAGGGAAGAAAUGGGCUACAUUCAGUAAAUACUGAAUACGAAUGAUAUUUUGAAACAAUAUCUGAAGGAGGAUUUAGUAGUAAGCAGGGAAUAGAGAGCCCUGCUGAAGCUGGCCCUGAAGCGCGUACACACCGCCCGUCACUCUCCCCGAGCUAAGUAUCACCCAUAUCUAAUAAGUUAAAUCUGUAAAGGGGAGGC
rnacentral:ncRNA from 1 species